AGAUCAGUACGCUGGUCGUGCCUUCGGUAUGCACUGGUGUCACUGAUUCCUCCCUUCUGAAGAACCGUAAUGCCAUUCAGUUGGUGUGGCGGGGAAUCAGGAUUGUUACUUUGAAAAAAUUAGAGUGUUUAAAGCAGGCUCGCGCUUGAAUACAUUAGCAUGGAAUAAUGAAAUAGGACGUUUGAUCCUAUUUUGUUGGUUUCUAGGAUCGACGUAAU
rnacentral:rRNA from 1 species